rnacentral:rRNA from 1 species
GAUGAACGCUGGCGGCGUGCCUAAUACAUGCAAGUCGAGCGAAUGGAUUAAGAGCUUGCUCUUAUGAAGUUAGCGGCGGACGGGUGAGUAACACGUGGGUAACCUGCCCAUAAGACUGGGAUAACUCCGGGAAACCGGGGCUAAUACCGGAUAACAUUUUGAACCGCGUGGUCCGAAAUUGAAAGGCGGCUUCGGCUGUCACUUAUGGAUGGACCAGCGUCGCAUUAGCUAGUUGGUGAGGUAACGGCUCACCAAGGCAACGAUGCGGAGCCGACCGUGGAGGGUGAUGGGCCACGCGGGGACGUAGACACGGCCCAGACUGCUACGGGAGGCAGCAGUGGGGAAUCUUCCGCAAUGGACGAAAGUCUGACGGAGCAACGCCGCGUGAGUGAUGAAGGCUUUCGGGUCGUAAAACUCUGUUGUUAGGGAAGAACAAGUGCUAGUUGAAUAAGCUGACACCUUGACGGUACCUAACCAGAAAGCCACGGCUAACUACGUGCCAGCCGCCGCCGUAA